rnacentral:lncRNA from 1 species
CAAGAGUGCUCAUUCUGCUCAUGAACCAACGUUUGCUAUACUGCCAGGUGUCUGGCUCUGCGGUUAGAGGAUCAACAGAUUUUUCUAAACAAAACAAUAUAUUUACCUGGUAGAAACCUACUGCGAUAAAGUCAGGCCUUCAUGGAGCUAGAGAGAUGUCUGCUGUGGUUUGGAGAGGAGCACUGCUUCUUCCAGAUUUACAUACGUUCAGGAACCAAACUCCCGAAUUCUUGUUCUGUGAUCUGAGUAAGAGCAGGGCUUCAUUAUCAGCAACACUCAUUGUACAGCUUUUGGUGGAAGGAAGAAAAGAAAGCAGCACUGGGAAUGAGGCUCUCUGGAUCCUUAUUUGUUCUUCCUCUCAUUCACAGUGCUUUGCCGCUGGCAGGUAAGUGCCUUCCUCUUGUCUCCUGUAACAUUGUGUGUGAAAGACUUACUUGGGGAAUUCAUUAGCACUAGUAACACAAAUGAAGUAGAAUCUACGUGAAAUAGUUGGAUUACCUUUGGGAAGUUAUUGUAGACUUGCACUGACAAUAUAACUUCCAUCUCUUUUGUUGCACUUCUGUCACAGGUGUUAAACAGAGAAAGUUUGGAGAACCAGAUAUCUCCUGAGUAAAAUUGUUUGUAAUGGAUUGACUCACAGUUCCUGUUUGAAUCGUACGUGGUAUCACUGCAGGGGCUGAACUAUAUUGUAUUGUGUAUUAUAAAUUGAAUUGAUUUAGUUUUUUGCAAGCUUUUUCAAUGAAUUUACUUUUUUUAAUACCUAUUUUUAGUAUAUGUGAUACUCAGUGAUCAAAAGAUGUAUUGUGGACCCAAACAGGUUAUGAAUCCCACAACUCUAGAGUGCUGCUUUCUCAUACUAUGUUUGAUUUCCCAAUGUCAUUCCUAGUUUUACAUUGCCAUGGCUCACAGUAGACUGCAGGUCUUGUAGGUCAGCAAAGCCCUUGAACCUUCAGUGAGGCCUGGAGUUGUUCACCCACAUUUAUAGGAAAAAGGAGAAAAAAAAUAUGAAUUAUGGAGGGAAAAUAAAUGGCUCAGAAAAGAUGGCUGUGAUACCUGU